AUGGAUCACAGCAAGAACUGCGACCAUGGCCUGGCAGAGAUCGAAGCGCUGCUGCGUCGGGAGCAGGAGCUCGUGACGCAGCUCCGAGCGCUCAUCCUUCCACAACUCCACAACGUGGAUAGCGGGUCGGCCGAGCUCGCCGCCCAGCUCUUCGACGACGUGAUCGGCUGCAGCACCAGCGUCGUAUCUAAGCUCUUCACUGCUGGAAGUGGAGCGACCAUCGAGCUCAUCGACGACAAGUCCUUAGUGAGGAAGAAAAGUCCUAGUACUGCUGCUGUUGCUGCUGCUGCUGCUAUCGAUGACAAGAUGGACGAACAGGCGAAGCCUAGCUGCAUCGUUGGUCGAAAGAGAAGGAGGAACGACGGCAAGCGAUCAAGAUCACUCGUGACCAAUGUUCCGCAUUAUGAUGGUCACCAGUGGAGAAAAUAUGGGCAGAAGAACAUCAACGGAAGGCAACAUGCUAGGAGCUACUACAGAUGCACCUACACAGAACGGAACUGCUCAGCAACUAAGACAGUUCAGCAACAAGAUCAAGAUGGCGGCGGUUCUAUUUAUUCCGCAGACGCUGGUGAGGAUCAGGGUGCAAAGUACACUGUCGUGUACUACGGUGAUCACACAUGCAAGGCCGGCGACAACAUCAGUAACAACAUUAUCGAUCAUCUGCCCAAUCUUGUAGAUAUAGAUCUUCGGAGGGGUGAAACAGAGCGAGUAACGGCAGAAAUUUCAGAGUUCGACAUGGAAUUAGAUGUGCCGGCUCUGCUAGAGGUGUUCAACAAUUCUCAGCUGAAUUGGGAGAUCGUAUGCUAG
rnacentral:rRNA from 1 species